CCCCUCUCAGGGUCGCACCUGGAGAGUUUCUAGUACUCUGUCAAUCUCGGCUGGGUGGGAGAGUCAAGCAGAGGGCUACCCAUUCCAUUCCUAGCUUGGCCAGGGGCUAGUGAGUGGAAGGAAAUCAGCUACAAGU